AGUAAUAAAAAAAUGGAGAUCUCCCAAUAUUUUGGAGCUGGAACAUGGAUGAGGAAAUAGAGGCCCAGAGAGGAAUAUUGAUGAACCUGCAACCUAGCUGUGACCAUGCAGACGACAAUACUGCCUAAGUGAUGGCAGAGAAACAGGAUGGAAGGAACCUGGUCCCUGAACCUGGCUGUGUGGGGCAGAGCCAUCUGCCUACCUGGAAUGCCGACCUUGGACAUAAAUAUCUAUAUCCUCUAUAUAUCUGUUUUUGUUUGUUUGUUUGUUUUUGUUAGCAGCUUACCUUUUUUUACCUUAGUCAAUACAGGCCUUUUUCUCCCUCUGGUUUGGUUGUAUCUUGAGAAAAAGCUGACUUAUGUUUCUUUGUGGGUCCUGUGACAAGCAUAUUGUCCUUAAAUUAAUGCUAGCUGAAUGAACCUUGAAGAUAAAAUGGUACCUUGCUCAUGCUCAGUCUUGUAAAGGACUAAAAGCAAAGGGAUAAGAAGAAACAAUACAAUAUGAAAAAUGUUUCAUAUGUUACCAUGUCUGGACACCUUUGGAGACAUUUAGGUCUACUGAGAAAAAAAUCUGAGGACCCUUAGAGAAAGGGAGCUAGGAAAAGAGAUUUAGAGUAAGUUCCUCUGAAAGGAGUAAAUGAGGACCAUGAACUCCACCAGUGGCAGAAACAUCAUUCACUAACACCCUACUACUGGAUACUGGUCUAUUUUUCCCCGGUAAUCCUGCUUUACUGUUUUACUGUGUGUGGUAGCAGUUCCCAAAGACAGAUACUUCCUCUCCCCGACCUAUCCAUCCCCACCUUGAGCCACGCUUCAUGAUAUGGAUGCCCUUGUAUACCUCUGCCCCCUGAAUGUGGGCUAGCCUCACGACUUUCUAUAUGAAUACAGAAUAUGGGGGAAGUGAAGCUGCCUGACUUUUGAGGCUAGGUCAUAAGUUUUGCAGUUAUUGUUUGGGACUCCUGGAAUACUUACUUGCUCGUUGGAUGUUCCCUCUUAGCACCCAGCACUUGCUGGAGGAAGCCCAAGGUACGUGGAAAGGCCAUGAGCUCUGCUCCAGGAGACAGCCCCAGUGGCCAAGACAUGGAAACAAUCAAAGUGCCCUUUGAUAGAUGACUGGAUAAACAACAUAUGGUAUAUCUCCACAAUGGAUUACUAUUCGGCCAUAAGAAAAAAUGAAAUACUGCCAUUUGCAACAACUUGGAUGGAUCUUGAGAUUAUCAUGCAAAGCAAAGUUACCAGAGAGCUGUCAGAGGGGAACUGUCCUGAGUAGACACUGCACUAGUGGCCUAGCUCCCUGACUAGUUAGACAACUGGAAAUCCUAACUGGGAAUUGCACAAAUUCUGUCUGCUGAAGAAA